rnacentral:rRNA from 1 species
GAUGAACGCUGGCGGCGUGCCUAAUACAUGCAAGUCGAGCGAACAGAUGAGGAGCUUGCUCCUCUGACGUUAGCGGCGGACGGGUGAGUAACACGUGGAUAACCUACCUAUAAGACUGGGAUAACUUCGGGAAACCGGAGCUAAUACCGGAUAAUAUAUUGAACCGCAUGGUUCAAUAGUGAAAGACGGUUUUGCUGUCACUUAUAGAUGGAUCCGCGCCGCAUUAGCUAGUUGGUAAGGUAACGGCUUACCAAGGCAACGAUGCGUAGCCGACCUGAGAGGGUGAUCGGCCACACUGGAACUGAGACACGGUCCAGACUCCUACGGGAGGCAGCAGUAGGGAAUCUUCCGCAAUGGGCGAAAGCUUGACGGAGCAACGCCGCGUGAGUGAUGAAGGUCUUCGGAUCGUAAAACUCUGUUGUUAGGGAAGAACAAAUGUGUAAGUAACUAUGCACGUCUUGACGGUACCUAAUCAGAAAGCCACGGCUAACUACGUG